rnacentral:rRNA from 1 species
UACAGAGGUCUCAACCGUUGUUCGGAUUCAUUGGGCGUAAAGGGUGCGUAGGCGGUCGCGCAAGUCGGGUGUGAAAUCUCAGGGCUCAACCCUGAAACUGCAUUCGAUACUGCGUGGCUAGAGUGCUGGAGAGGAGACUGGAAUUUACGGUGUAGCAGUGAAAUGCGUAGAUAUCGUAAGGAAGACCAGUGGCGAAGGCGAGUCUCUGGACAGCAACUGACGCUGAGGCACGAAGGCCAGGGGAGCAAACGGG